GAGCAUUUCCAGCAAAAGUGCGAAACGCCCAAGCGGGGAAAUCAGUCCACCGGACUGAUUUCUGAUCCCGCUUCGAUGCGUUGGCAAAUGCGAGAAAACAAAGAGUUGGAGCGGUUCCUGUUUUAACAGAACGCCGGAAGUGCUUUAUUCCGGCAG
rnacentral:misc_RNA from 1 species